GGGGGCACCCUGACCGAGCAACGCCGCGUGAGUGAAGAAGGUUUUCGGAUCGUAAAGCUCUGUUGUAAGUCAAGAACGAGUGUGAGAGUGGAAAGUUCACACUGUGACGGUAGCUUACCAGAAAGGGACGGCUAACUACGUGCCAGCAGCCGCGGUAAUACGUAGGUCCCGAGCGUUGUCCGGAUUUAUUGGGCGUAAAGCGAGCGCAGGCGGUUUGAUAAGUCUGAAGUUAAAGGCUGUGGCUCAACCAUAGUUCGCUUUGGAAACUGUCAAACUUGAGUGCAGAAGGGGAGAGUGGAAUUCCAUGUGUAGCGGUGAAAUGCGUAGAUAUAUGGGGGAACACCGGUGGCGAAAGCGGCUCUCUGGUCUGUAACUGACGCUGAGGCUCGAAAGCGUGGGGAGCGAACAGGAUUAGAUACCCUGGUAGUCCACGCCGUAAACGAUGAGUGCUAGGUGUUGGAUCCUUUCCGGGAUUCAGUGCCGCAGCUAACGCAUUAAGCACUCCGCCUGGGGAGUACGACCGCAAGGUUGAAACUCAAAGGAAUUGACGGGGGCCCGCACAAGCGGUGGAGCAUGUGGUAUAAUUCGAAGCAACGCGAAGAACCUUACCAGGUCUUGACAUCCCGAUGCUAUGUCUAGAGAUAGAAAGUUACUUCGGUACAUCGGUGACAGGUGGUGCAUGGUUGUCGUCAGCUCGUGUCGUGAGAUGUUGGGGUUAAGUCCGCA
rnacentral:rRNA from 1 species